AGGGUGGUGAUGCAAAAGUAGGAUGUGCAGGUGGAGGAGCUGAAUGGUGUGACUGUUGAGAAUGAUCAUUUCUCCACCUAAAAUUUGGAUGAUUCUUCCAACCAGGGUUAUAGGUAUUCGAGUAUGGAUCGUUAUAAGACUUUUGGUAGGAGUUCAUAGCAUUUGCUUGAUCGUGCAAGACUUCUUUGAAUGCCGGUAUGGUGGG
rnacentral:lncRNA from 1 species